UCUAUUGAAUGUAGGAUGGUCUUGAUCUCUAGUGAAUUGGGGCUUUCUGGCUUAAUAUCCUGAACAGAACGAUCUUCAUGGCGUUGUUUUUUUUGUUUGUUUGUUUGUUUGUUUUCAGACAGAGUUUCACUCUUGUCGCCCAGGCUGGAGUGCAAUGGCACGAUCUUGGCUCACUGCAAUCUCCAUCUCCCAGGUUCAUGCAAUUCUCCUGCCUCAGCCUCCCAAGUAGCUGGGAUUAUAGGGGCGCACCACCACACCCAGCUAAUUUUUUAAAUUUUAAGUAGAGAUGGGAUUUCACCAUGUUGGCUAGGCUGGUCUUGAACUCCUGACCUCAGGUGAUCCACCUGCCUCAGCCUCCCAAAGUGCUGGGAUUACAGGUGUGAGCCAGUGCUUCCAGCCUUCGUGGAGCUUUUGAGGAGCAUUUAUCCUUCGGUGUUACUGUGUAUAGCACGUGACUGCGUGAUCUGUUCGUAUCACUUUCAUUGAAUCCCUUUCAUGUUCAUGUAGUGUUGGGAUUGGGGGAGGUUGUGAACAAGACAGUCAUGGUUCCCACCUUCAAAGAUUGUAGGUCUCAGUGGGGAUGGAGAAUCGAUGGGAAUCAAGGGCUAGAGGAAGAGAGCUGGGAAGAGAGGCAGAGGCAGGUGGGAGAGGGAGCGUGAAGCUGAGAUCUGGAGGAGCUGUGGCUGAUGUGAUGAGGCCUUGGAGGAGACUGGGUGUGCAUAUUCCUGUGGCUGUCAAAACAAAGCACCACAGGCUGCAGGGCUGGAAACAGAAGCUUAUUCUCACCAUUCUAGAGGCCAGAAGUCCGAGGUCCAGGUGUGGCAGGAGCAUGCUGUUCUUGAAGACCCUAGGGGGAGAAUCAGCCAAAUGCUUCUCAGCUUCUGGUGUCACAGGCAGUCCUGAGCACAUAGAUAUCUUGCCUCUAGUCUCUGUCUGUCACAUGGUCUCCUCCUCUGUCUCUGCGUCUCUUCUCUUCUUUUUAUAAGGACGCCAGUUGUAUUGGACUAGGGUGGAUACUCUAAUGACCCCAUUUUUAUUUGAUGAUGUCUGCAAAGGCCCUGUUUGCACAUAAGGUCACAUUCACGUGUACCAGGAGUUAGGAUGUGAACAUAUUUUAUUGGAGGGACACAAUUCAACCCCUUAGCAGCAGGCACUGGGCUGCCGGGAGAAGGGGGUGGAUGGACAACAAGCUCGUUGAAGGAGAUGAGGACAAGGAGGCCUGAGCCAGGGCUGGGAAGACCCGUCUACGCGAACGGCAAAGUUGCCAAGAGCAGCCUGCAGGUGGACAGAGUAAAGUCAGUUCUGGGCCGGGUGCGGUGGCUCACGUCUGUAAUCCCAGCACUUUUGGACACUGAGGCAGACGGAUCACUUGAGGUUAGGAGUUUAAGACCAGGUUGGCCAACAUGGUGAAACCCCAUCUGUACUAAAAAUACAAAAAUCAGCUAGGCGUGGUGGC
rnacentral:lncRNA from 1 species